AGUGGGGAAUAUUGGACAAUGGGCGCAAGCCUGAUCCAGCCAUGCCGCGUGUGUGAAGAAGGCCUUCGGGUUGUAAAGCACUUUUGUCCGGAAAGAAAAGCAUUCGAUUAAUACUCGGGUGUUAUGACGGUACCGGAAGAAUAAGCACCGGCUAACUUCGUGCCAGCAGCCGCGGUAAUACGAAGGGUGCAAGCGUUACUCGGAAUUACUGGGCGUAAAGCGUGCGUAGGUGGUUUGUUAAGUCUGAUGUGAAAGCCCUGGGCUCAACCUGGGAACUGCAUUGGAAACUGGCUGACUAGAGUGCGGUAGAGGGGUGUGGAAUUCCCGGUGUAGCAGUGAAAUGCGUAGAUAUCGGGAGGAACAUCUGUGGCGAAGGCGACACCCUGGACCAGCACUGACACUGAGGCACGAAAGCGUGGGGAGCAAA
rnacentral:rRNA from 1 species